rnacentral:rRNA from 1 species
UACAGAGGGUGCAAGCGUUAAUCGGAAUUACUGGGCGUAAAGCGCACGUAGGCGGUUGGUUAAGUUGGAUGUGAAAGCCCCGGGCUCAACCUGGGAAUUGCAUUUGAAACUGGGAAACUAGAGUGUGUGAGAGGGGGGUAGAAUUCCAAGUGUAGCGGUGAAAUGCGUAGAGAUUUGGAGGAAUACCAGUGGCGAAGGCGGCCCCCUGGCACAACACUGACGCUCAGGUGCGAAAGCAUGGGGAGCAAACAGG